CAAACAGCUGAGAAACAAUAAUCAAAAUAAGUAUGGUGCCAGUAUAAUGUUUUUUUUUCCCAAUAAAAUACUGGUAAGGAUAGAAAUGUAGUUGGUCUCUUAUCCGAUUAUUAAUCGAUUAAUCAAAGUAAUAAUCGACAGAUUAAUCGAUUAUCAAAUUAGUUGUUCGUUGCAGCCCUAGUUUAAUCAAUGUUGGGUACUGAGUUCUGACGUUGAUUUGACCAUUGAAUUUUGGUCAUUUCUCACCCAAUAUUUUACAAAACAAAUACAACGUUGGAAAAACAUACUUUUUGACGUCAUUUAUUCAAUGUCAGGUUGUGAGUUCUGAUGUUGAGUUGACCAUUGAAAUUUGGUCAUUUCCCACUACAACGUUGAAACAACAUGCUUUUUGGCGUCAUUUAUUCAAUGUCAGGUUGUGACGUUGAUUUGACCAUUGAAAUUUGGUCAUUUCUAAACCAAUAUUCUACAAUUCAAAUAAAACGCUGAAACAUUAUGCUUUUUGACGUCAUUUAUUCAAUGUCACGAUGUGACGUUGAUUUGACCAACAACGUGGAUCCAACGUUAGACACCAACGCUGUCUCAAUUUACAAAUACAACUAAUUUCGCAACAUUGUUCAGAAGUCAGUUUUAAAAAACAAAUAUGUAUAAUCAACGUUGUAUCAAUAUCUUGUGCCUGCUGGGAGGGGCUUUGAACAAGAGGUAGUCUGCGUUGGCAUCUUUUUUCCCAAAAAAUCAGUUUACCUUACAAUUAAAAACUUGCUGUAACACAAAAAUGGUUUCCUCAAUCUCUUCAAUACGAGCAAGCACAAAACAGCUGCCAAAAUGAAUGAACGUAUUCGUAUACAGACACAUGGUUCGCACACGGAGGCAUAUUUAGCGCGAUCUAAAAGUUCACAAACCGAAAAGUUCACACAUAGAUGGGUCUGUAAAUCAAGGUUCCACUGUAUCUUAACACUUUGAGGAAAUAGUCUUUCUAAGGUGUGACCUUCAGUUGCGCUUUCAUGAUUACAUGCCACUGUAGGUUCUACUCAAAAGCUACGCGCUUUUUGGGUGACCCUGAUUGAACGCAGCUAGUAGUUUCUCCUUGCCAGCAAACCAGUCAUUUGUAAGACUCAUAGAGGAGUGGUGUCCUGAUCCCAUAUUGAUAUCAGUCCGAUACAAGCGUGUUGACUUGUGCAAAUUUGGACAGCCGGUUGACAUCUAAACGUCCUCCAACAAGCACAUAGGGUUGAUCUUAUCCUUCUAUUUUAGUCAAGAGGUAAACAUGGUAAGGUAUAGGCCAGUGGUCGGCAACCUUUACCACUCAAAGAGCCAUUUUGACCCGUUUCACAAAAUAAAGAAAACAAUGGGAGCCACAAAACUCUUCUGAAAUUUAAAAUGAAAUAACACUGCAUAUAAAGUUUUUUUUUGCUUUGUGCUAUGUAUAAACCAAGGGUCUCAGACACGCGGCUCGCACCUUAAUAUGAAAAUGUAAUGUUAGUGCGGCCCGCAAGUUUUAGAUGAAUGGCGCUUGACAGCGUCAUACUUGCCAACCCUCCCGAUUUUGCCAAACGCCGCCCACCUCAACCGAGGGGGGGUUGGUGGUAGCGGGGGUGUAUAAUGUAGCCCGGAAGAGUUAGGGCUGCAUCGGAUUCUGGGUAUUUGUUCUGUUGUGUUUAUGUUGUGUUACGGUGCAGAUGUUCUCCCGAAAUGUGUUUGUCAUUCUUGUUUGGUUUUGGUUCACAGAGUGGCGCAUAUUAGUAAGAGUGUUAAAGUUGUUUUAAACGACCACCGUCAGUGUAGCCUGUGUGGCUGUUGACCAAGUAUGCCUUGCUGUCACUUAUGUGUGCAAGCUGAAGCUGCAUACAAUAUGAGGCUGGGCUGUCACGCUGUUAGUACAAGGUUGUAGAUGGCGUUAAAUGCUGUGUUAUCACGGCACGCCCUUAUUUUAUUGAUAGGGUGUAAAUCGGGGAAUAUUUGCCCCGGGAGAUUUCUGGGAGAGGCACUGAAAACCGGAGGUCUCCCGAGAAAAUCGGGUGGGUCGGCAAGUAUACAGCUGAGCUGCAUCAGAGUGGUCAAAGAGCCGCGGGUAUAGGCCAACAGCAGCCAAGUAACAUAAGCUACACAUGGUGUCCUUAAUUGAACAAUAUUGCAGGCUGAAACACGGUAUUUGUCAAUAUAAACAUGUAUAGUUGCAUAUUACUUACAGACACAAAGUCUCAAAGGCAGCAGCGUAUUCGAAAGUAUCCAGUAACAGACGUGUCCGCAUCUUUCGACUUACUGCGUCCUGCGCUUAAUUUAAAUGAAUUAUUGUGACAACAACAAAAAUAAUUACCACUUCAACAGCGUAAAUUUGUCAUAGGUUUAAUGUUUUUCCACACAUAGUACUGUUCUGAGUAAUUUUACAUAUUAGAGCCUUUUCUAACAUUCCACACUACAAAAUAGGGGUGUGAAUCUUUGGGCACCUGACGAUACGGUCCGGCUCCUGGGGUGACAAUUCAACACGAUUCAUGAUUCAAAAAAUGAUACUUGCAAUCUAUUAUUUUGCAUAAUAAUUAUAAUGAACAUUUUUCAAAUUAGAUUAGGAAAUAUAUUUUUGGUUGAAUAAAGAUGGCCUAAUAAUGUCUUUUUAAAAGUCUAUUAUUUAACAAGAAUUUUUUUUUUUUUUUCUUUCAUAGAUUUUUGAAAAUGAUCGAUUUAGAAUCAGGAUUAAUAAGAACCGCAAAUAAAUUUUUGUGCACUCCAUUACAAAAUAAAAGUAUGCACCACGAUCCGUGCUGAUAUUGUAUCGGAUUAUUAUAGGUAUCGACCAAUACUCAAGGCUUCAAUAUCAGUAUUGUAUCUGAAGUGAAAAAGAUGUAUCAAUACACCCCUAAAUUUAAGUGGGUGACUAUGUACGUAUUUGACUGAGUGUGUACAUUUUCCUGAAGAUUUUACACCAUUUCUUUGUAGGGACCUCCUUUUUUUACACAGGCAGCUGCACACGGAACACUUUAAUCACAAAUUAACAGUAUUUUACAACAAGUAAAUAACAAAUGUCUUUUUAUACAUGUCAAUUUGUUUUAUAACAUACAACAUAUGUGUAUACUGUAAAUAGUAACUUUCUACUGAAGUUAAUUAAUUAACUCAUAUUAUGUUCUACUUAUGGUGAAUGUUUAUAUUCACCUUGGAGAAAGCGAACCACCAGGUUUAAGUAAAUAAUGGUUGAGUCCAUAAUAAAUGAAGGAGCCUUAGUUGGACAUUGGUAUGUGGACUGGGAUAACCCUCUCACGAGAAGAGGCAAUAAAUUCAGACUUCGGAAUGCAAAAGUGAUAGCUCUAUCCUGGAGGAGAGAUUCCAUGCUUAUCUUGACAUCAACUGACUAGUUAUGGUAUACAUCUGUGGUCUUCCCAGUCACUUACACACGAACAUCUCCUUACAUGGCCAGGUUGUACUUUCCUGAAUUAACACACACCCAGGCAGAGAAAGAAAGAAUAUAAGACUGUGGUUCGGCUCCUCCAAGUUAAGAGUGCCUCAUUUGUUUAGACUCCUCCAGGUACUGCAGUCCUGUGUAAUGACACUCACUUGUAAUAAAGCAACUUUUGGUUCAGUAAA